rnacentral:lncRNA from 1 species
GACCGUCGAAAGGGCUCUACAACGAGCUAGCACUCGUGAGGAGUCGAUCAUAUCGGAAGCUUCGUGUGGAUGAUCCGCAGAGGUCAGACAUGCUGGUAACUGUAUCACGAUGAUCAGACUCUCCCGACGGUAAUCAGAUUACGGUGAUCUACUACCCGCACAAAGGUAUUGUAUUCUGAACACAUUACAGUAAAGUGUUUACUGUUCAAAUUCGAAUUUCAAAUUUAAAUGCAUGCAUGCUAUAUAUCAUAUUU